GGCCGCGGGCGGGCGCGCGAGUGGUGGGCCGGUUCGGCCCAAUUCGGCCGAGCCGGUCCGUCUUCCCCCCCUUUUUUUUUCUUUUAGCCUUUUCUUUUUCUCUUUUUCUCAUUUCUUUGAUAACUUUUAAUUUUGAACUCCAAAUUGGUCCAAAUAAAUUCCAGAAAAUUUGUAAAAUCAUUUUUAUCAUGAUACAACUUUUGGGAGUAAUUUCCCCUCAAAAUUAAAUAUAUAAAAUUACAUUUGCCCUAUAAAUGCCUUUAGGGCUAUAUAACUAUUUCAAUAAAAUACUUUUUCAACUCCAAAUAAUUAUCCAAAAAUUAUGGAAUAGCUCAUUUAUGCAAUAAACCCUUUUUAUAAAUAAACCUUCUGUCGCAUCAGUGG
rnacentral:lncRNA from 1 species